UACAGAGGUCCCAAGCGUUGUUCGGAUUCAUUGGGCGUAAAGGGUGCGUAGGCGGCAAGGUAAGUUGGAUGUGAAAUCCCGGGGCUCAACCCCGGAACUGCAUUCAAUACUGCUUUGCUAGAGUACUGGAGAGGAGAUUGGAAUUCACGGUGUAGCGGUGAAAUGCGCAGAUAUCAGGAGGAACACCGGUGGCGAAGGCGGGUCUCUGGGCAACAACUGACGCUGAGGAGCGAAAGCGUGGGGAGCGAACAGG
rnacentral:rRNA from 1 species